rnacentral:rRNA from 1 species
UACGUAGGGUGCGAGCGUUGUCCGGAAUUAUUGGGCGUAAAGGGCUCGUAGGCGGUUUGUCGCGUCGGGAGUGAAAACCUUGGGCUUAACUCAGGGCUUGCUUUCGAUACGGGCAGACUAGAGGUAUGCAGGGGAGAACGGAAUUCCUGGUGUAGCGGUGAAAUGCGCAGAUAUCAGGAGGAACACCGGUGGCGAAGGCGGUUCUCUGGGCAUUAUCUGACGCUGAGGAACGAAAGUGUGGGGAGCAAACAGG